rnacentral:lncRNA from 1 species
CUGCUCUGUCCCUGGAUAUAAGGGUCAUUACUCCCAGCAUGCCAAGAAGACUUUCUUGGUUCCUCUUCCUCCUGAUCGGGAAUCUCUUCUGGAACCCCUCAAACUCCUCAGCUUCGUUGAAGACCCUCAAACCCACAGCUCCAGAGGCUUCUCCUAUAGCAGUGGAGACAUCCAAUGGGGUCUAUGAGGUCGAGGGAGGCCGGCGACUAGACUGGUGGAGUGCCCACAACUUCUGUGACCAGCGUUUUGCCCAACUGGCUUUGGAGCCCC